GACGAACGCUGGCGGCGUGCUUAACACAUGCAAGUCGAACGGUGAACGAGGGAGCUUGCUCCCUCCGGAUCAGUGGCGAACGGGUGAGUAACACGUGAGCAAUCUGCCCCGAACUCUGGGAUAAGCGUUGGAAACGACGUCUAAUACCGGAUACGACGCGGGAGGGCAUCCUCUCCGCGUGGAAAGAACUUCGGUUCGGGAUGAGCUCGCGGCCUAUCAGCUUGUUGGUGAGGUAACGGCUCACCAAGGCGACGACGGGUAGCCGGCCUGAGAGGGUGACCGGCCACACUGGGACUGAGACACGGCCCAGACUCCUACGGGAGGCAGCAGUGGGGAAUAUUGCACAAUGGGCGCAAGCCUGAUGCAGCAAUGCCGCGUGAGGGACGACGGCCUUCGGGUUGUAAACCUCUUUUAGCAGGGAAGAAGCGAAAGUGACGGUACCUGCAGAAAAAGCACCGGCUAACUACGUG
rnacentral:rRNA from 1 species